rnacentral:lncRNA from 1 species
UGUUGAUCUGCACAUUUCCUCUCUACAGCUUCUCACCAGUAUUUUUCAAGAGUCUCCUAGUUAUAACCACAGCCCCGCAGAGGCACAGCACUUGCUGGUUCCCACAAGAACUGAACCGAGAUUACCACAAGAAGAGAGCCCAAGGGAGAGGCCUUUGAGAAGCCUGGCCAGUUGUACCCUGACCUCUAGUCUAGAUUAGGAAAAAAAAAAAAAAAAAAAACCUGCUUCAGGCUAAACACAUGGCACUCAUGUAUCUUCAGAGAGUCAGUCUCUCCCUCCAUGGAUUGAUUGUCUUAACCAAAUGCUUUCAUGAGAACUGUCAUUUGCCCUGACAUGACAGGAACAGUCAGGUGAUCACUCUGAAAUUGCUUAGGAUGUCAAGCCAAGAUCCUCUAUGCAGAGUGGAUUGAUGAAUUUCCAAAGAUAGUGCAAGAACGGCAGCUGAUAAGAGUGAACUGGAAGUAGCCCAGCUACACUGGAUCUGUCCGUCCUAAAGAUCCUGAUCCCUGGAAGGUAUUAUUAAGGCAGUGUCAGGGAUGGGCUGUGGCUGGGAGGCCUGGAACACAAACAAGCACAUAGACAGGAAUUGUGGGGAAGAAAGCAGAGCAUACACAGCAAGGAGGAUCCAAGAUGGAAGCCAACACUGAAAGGAAAAUUAUCAGCCCAGGACCCUCAAGUCCAAGUUCUCAGCACAAAGGAGAUUUAUUUGCCCCAGAGGGACAGAGGGCAGGGAAUAAUAGACAAAGACAGGAGACUGAGAACAAGGGAUGAGGGAAAGAGAACAAGGGUCAGGGGGAAGGAGUAUUUGUCCAGAAGACAAAGGACUGCCUCUGGAGAGAGAGGAGACGGACAUGGCAGGCACAUAAGAAAACGGUAGAACAAGAGGAAACCCUAUGUUAGGAUGAGGUGUUUAGUUUUAAUUGGGCAUGAUAAUUGGGUGAGCCAAAGGGGGCUUCUGAUUGCUGGACUUCAGUACUUUGAUAGCUGCACUUUGGUAUUUGGUAGUCAGCCUCAGAAGGAGGAAGCUGCCAGAUAAGGGAAUAGACUUUGGAGACUAGCUUU